UUCUUUUUCUCUUUUUGAGACAGAGUCUUGCUCUGUCACCCAGGCUAGAGUGCAGAGGCAUGAUCUCAGCUCACUGCAACCUCCACCUCCCAGGUUCAAUUGAUUCCCCUGGCUCAGCCUCCCAAGUAGUGGGGAUUACAGGUGCACACCAACAUGCCUGGCUAAUUUUUGUAUUUUUAGUGGAGACAGGGUUUCACCAUGUUGGCCAGGCUGGUCUCGAACUCCCAACCUCAAGUGAUCCUCUCGCCUCGGCCUCCCAAAGUGCUGGGAUUACAGAUGUGAGCCAUUGUGCCUGGCCCCAUGCUCUCCUUUCUAAAGGGGAAGAACCUUUUUGUAGCAGAGGAAUCAUUCUUGAAGGUCCCAAGAUCCUUUCUGCUAGACUUCCUAUUCUUAUAGUUGUUUCUAAACUUAAUUCUUUCUGGAAAACAGAAUAACUGCAAGAAAAAAUCUACAUCCUGAAAGGGUUGAACCCAUCUUGAAAAUGGCAAAAUCUCCAUCCUGGUGAUCACUGGCACCAUCACUCCCAGUACAGCCAUCACUCUAUGGGAUCCUGGGCACUGCUUAGCACUAGGAAGGCGAAUGGCUUUAAAUUAUGAUUCCUGUCCUCAAGAGAUAAGUCACAUUGUUGAAAACCUGACAUCAACGUACAAAGAUUCAUAAUCAUAAAAGUGGCCAUGGGUGCAGUGUCUGCCAUGCAGAGGAGAAGCCGCUGGUUGUAGCAGCAACACUCCAGCUUACCUGGAGCAAAGUGCAUAAAGGAAAGGCCAUGUGAGGACACAGCAAGAAGGCGGCCCUCUGCAACCUGACCAGCAAGAUCUCACCAGAAACCACCCCUGCUUGCACUGUGAUCUUGGAAUUCUAGCCUCUAGAACUGUGAAACAAUAAACUGUUGUUUAAGCCACUUGGCCUGUGGUAUUUUGUUACAGCAGCCUGAACUGACUAAUACAAUCACUAAAUUAUCAAAAAGUGGAAUUAAAAGUGUUAUAUCUGUUUCACUCAAGAUAUGAGUAGGAAACAGAGAAGAGUUAGACAAAAAAAAAACAAAAAACAGAUAAACAGAAAUUUAGUAAAUAUUUGCUGAGUAAUGAAUUUAGACAUUUUGCUUUUUGAUAUGCUUUCAAGAACUUCAAUGAGGUAUAACUGACAUUCAAUAAACCACAAUUAUUAAAAUGUACAAUUUGAUGUGCUUUGCCAUAUGAAACCAUCAUCAAAAAUCAAGAUCAUAAACACAACUAUCACCUUCCAAAUCUCCUUGGAUACCUAUAAUUCCUCCGUCUGCCCCUUCCUAAUCUGCCCCCUGCCAUCCUACAAGAGGAAACCUCUGAUCUGUUUUCUGGCACUAUAGAUCUGUAGGUUAAUGAUAAUUUUCUAGAAUUUUAUAUAAAUAGAAUCAUAUGGGAUGUAAUCUUUUUUUGAUUUUUUUCCACUCACCAUCAUUAUUCUGAGAUUCAUCCAUGUUGUUGCUUAUAUCAGUGUUUUAUUCCUUUUGAUUACUGAGUGAUAUUCUGUUGUGUAUACUGUCAUUCGUUUAUUCAUUUAUAUGUUGAUGGACUUUUGGCUUGUUUCCAGUUUUAGGCUAUUACCAAAUAAAGUGCAAAUCUUUCUAUGGAUAGUUUCAUUUUUAUUGGAUCAACUAGGAGGUGUAUAUUUAACUGUUAAACUGCCAAUUUUUUUCCAAAGUGGCUGUACCAUUUCACCUCCUGCCAGCAGUGCAUGAGAGUCCUAGUUCCUCCAAAUCCUAGCCAACACCUGACGGUCAUUUUAAUCUGAGCCAUU
rnacentral:lncRNA from 1 species